rnacentral:rRNA from 1 species
UACGAAGGGGGCUAGCGUUGCUCGGAAUUACUGGGCGUAAAGCGCACGUAGGCGGCUUCUAAGUCGGGGGUGAAAUCCUGGAGCUCAACUCCAGAACUGCCUUCGAUACUGGAGAGCUCGAGUCCGGGAGAGGUGAGUGGAACUGCGAGUGUAGAGGUGAAAUUCGUAGAUAUUCGCAAGAACACCAGUGGCGAAGGCGGCUCACUGGCCCGGUACUGACGCUGAGGUGCGAAAGCGUGGGGAGCAAACAGGG